GAAACAGCCCAUCUUCAAGAGAGAAGGAUUCACUCUGAGGCCUUCAUGUCCCCGCCUCUCUAGGUCCCCAGCCCUGGCCACUCCCUUUCUCCAGAGCCCCACCAUGGCCUGCCUGAACAUCUAGGGCGAGUCAGGAGGGGACCGCGCUUCUGGCUGGGGCAGGUGUGGAAGGCUGGGACUCGCAUGGAUCUGUCCGUUCUGAUUCUCCUCCUGCUAUUACUGCUGCUGUUACUAGGUCGAUUAAGGCGCGAAUACCGGCUAAGCACCACAGCUCACCCAAAAGGGAGAAAAAGAUACCCAGGAGAUCCAGCCAGCGGCCCACGGUCAUCAGCAGAAGGAAGAGACCACCCAUGCGCACCAGUACCGUCUGGACCUGGCCCUGUAGGCUGAAGCGAUGCUGCCGCUGCUCCUCUGUAGGACGCGGUUGUCACUGUCUCAGCCGGCACCUUCUGGAGGUCAGCUGGGGCCAGCCUGUUCCACUCCUCAGCUCCUUUCCCCAGGGACCUUGUCAGCUUCCCCGACUGCCUUCCCGCAGCCCUGCUUCCGUCUCUGGGCACCUACAGGAUUUCUUACCCACCCUUAAGUUUCCCCCUGGUUGAGGACAGAGCCCUGCCCGUUGAUGGCAGGGAUCUAAGGUUCUCUCCCUUUCUGCCUGUCAGUCUGAAUCAUCCACAGCUCAGUCGGCUUCUGCCAGUCUCUCUCUCAUCCCACCCUGGUCCCAGCCACCUUCCCCCCUCGCCGAAGCUUACUCAAUGAGGCUCCUGAGUUUUGUUCCCGACCAAGCUCCACUGACCAUCUAAAGCGACCUAAACACGCCAAUAAGAUGACACCAUCCCUCUGCUUUUAGAGAAGAACUCUAAUGGAAGCCUUGUUUUUCACGGUC
rnacentral:lncRNA from 1 species